GAAAUAUGAAGUUCAAGUGAAAGCUGCUAACUUAUCACUCCAGCGGUUAAAUUCCGUUUAUAUUUCU
rnacentral:tRNA from 1 species